GAUGAACGCUAGCGAUAGGCCUAACACAUGCAAGUCGAGGGGCAUCACAUGAAGUAGCAAUACGGAUGGUGGCGACCGGCGCACGGGUGAGUAACACGUAUGCAACCUGCCUUCAACAAGGGGAUAACCCGUUGAAAGACGGACUAAUACCCUAUAAUACAGGGGUCCCGCAUGGGGAUAUUUGUUAAAGAUUGAUCGGUUGAAGAUGGGCAUGCGUUCCAUUAGCUGGUUGGUGAGGUAACGGCUCACCAAGGCAACGAUGGAUAGGGGAACUGAGAGGUUUAUCCCCCACACUGGUACUGAGACACGGACCAGACUCCUACGGGAGGCAGCAGUGAGGAAUAUUGGUCAAUGGACGCAAGUCUGAACCAGCCACGUCGCGUGAAGGAAGACGGCCCUACGGGUUGUAAACUUCUUUUAUACGGGAAUAAAGUGCCCCACGCGUGGGGUUUUGCAUGUACCGUAUGAAUAAGGAUCGGCUAACUCCGUGCCAGCAGCCGCGGU
rnacentral:rRNA from 1 species